rnacentral:rRNA from 1 species
CCCUACGGGACGCAUCAGUGUUUCCUCUUUGUCAAUUUUCUCCAGCCUGACCCAGCAACGCCGCGUGAAGGAAGAAGGCUUUCGGGUUGUAAACUUCUUUUCUCAGGGACGAAGCAAGUGACGGUACCUGAGGAAUAAGCCACGGCUAACUACGUGCCAGCAGCCGCGGUAAUACGUAGGUGGCAAGCGUUGUCCGGAUUUACUGGGUGUAAAGGGCGUGUAGCCGGGCUGACAAGUCAGAUGUGAAAUCCGGGGGCUCAACCCCCGAACUGCAUUUGAAACUGUUGGUCUUGAGUAUCGGAGAG